UGUCCGAGCGUUAUAAUGACCAACUCACCAUAAUGGUGGUCUUGGGGCUGGCCGUUAGGCCCUCCCUUAAAACUAGUGGCGGUGCCGUCGAGCUCUUAGCGUAGUAAUUUUCUCGCUAUAGGGCCUCGGUGGUUACUUGCCAGAACCCCAAAUUUUACAAGGUUAACCUCGGAUCAGGUAGGGAUACCCGCUGAACUUAA
rnacentral:misc_RNA from 1 species